AUAUAUUGAUUGAAUUUGACAAUAUCUGAUAAAUAUAGUUUGCCCAUAAUAAAAUGAAUCAGUUAGUUCAAAAUCUAGUUGUUUUAUAUUUUCUGCUAGGCUCAUUUGAAAAUGUUGUUGUUUGAUUUGCUCUUAUACCAAUUGUUGGAACUAGUAUUUGUGCUGAUACCAAUUAUAUAACUUAAGAUGUAAAAUCGAAUAAAAUAAUAUGGAGUAGAGAUAUUGGAGGAGGAAGAAAAUAACUAAACUAAUACUUUAUUAAUAAAAGGCAAAAUUACAUUCUGAUACCAAUUGUUAGAAGCGUAAUUUUCUCUAAUACCACUUGUUGUUGUUUGAUUUGCUCUAAUACCAUUUGUUGGAACGAAAGAAGUAUAAAACUAAAUCUUUAUUAAAUAUUCUUAGACUAAAUUUCUAUGGUGGAUAAUUUUUCACACAUUUAUAGCCGUCUAUAUACAGGCAUAAAUCAAAAUUCUAAUAACAAUAAUUAAACAAGAUUUAAACUUAUCUCUUAUGUCUAACCAACAAAAUAUUAAGAGAUAAACUUGACAGAAAUAAAUCUAAAUUAAUAAAAAAUAUUGGGUUACUUAUCAACAGAAAAAGAAAAAAGAAAAAAGAAUGAAGCGAAAAGCAUAUUACCUUUUUCUUUCUAAAAAAAAAAUGAAUCAAUUAAUAUCAUUAAUUUCCAAAAAUGAAAGAAAAAACCUAACUAUAUAAU
rnacentral:lncRNA from 1 species